ACACGGUCCAGAUUAAUUCGAAUAAACAAUAAAAGCAAAAAAAAAAAACACGAAAAAUACAGAAAUUAAAAGAAUUCGAAUACGGAAGGACAUUUUGGGGUAUUUACCACAAAGGUAAAUCGGGUAGUUCCGAUUAUUACUCUUCCAUAAUCUCGCCAUUGCAACUCCUGUAGGCUAGGGUUUUCAGUUGAUUUCUGAAAUUCUGAAGCGACUUCGAAGAGGAAAUCGGAAAAAUCACGAAUUAUCAGCAAGAAUUACCAGUUUUGGGUUAUUUUUUGACAUUUGAAGUGAAGAAGACGACGGCCGAAAAGAUGACAAAUGGAAAAGGGAAACAGAAAACGUUACAAGUUCGAAGCUACAGAAAAAGCAAAAUGACAUCUGGCGAAUCAUCAAACACAAAUCCUGAUGAUGGUAAUCUCUUUCACUGGUUGAGGAGGUUUGCAGAGGAACUCAAACAUGAUUGAGGGGGUGUUGAACGAUCGUCUGGGGAAGAAAGUUCGGGUGAAAGUUCAAGUAUUGUUAUUGACUCGUUCUCGUGUUGUAAUAUUCAAUUAAACUUAAAGUAUAUUCAUUAAGUUUCAUGACUUAUUCAAAAUAAUAAUAAGCAUAUAUAACAACAAGAGUAUUAGUUAAUUUAUUCAGUUUCUUGUUUUACUUAUUCGGUUUAUAACAAAGUGGUAUUCGAUGAAUUUUCAAUAUUAUUCACUAUAAUUUUAGUGAAUUAUGCAGUUAGCUUAUGUGAUGUUUUCGUCCAUAUUUACACAUUUG